rnacentral:snRNA from 1 species
GUGAUCACUUUGGGAGCAGAUAUACUAAAAUUGGAACAAUACAGAGCAAAUUAGCAUGGCCGCUGCACAAAGACACGUGAAAAUUUACUUUUU